rnacentral:rRNA from 1 species
AGGAGCUUGCUCUCUGAUUCAGCGGCGGACGGGUGAGUAAUGCCUAGGAAUCUGCCUGGUAGUGGGGGACAACGUUUCGAAAGGAACGCUAAUACCGCAUACGUCCUACGGGAGAAAGCAGGGGACCUUCGGGCCUUGCGCUAUCAGAUGAGCCUAGGUCGGAUUAGCUAGUUGGUGAGGUAAUGGCUCACCAAGGCGACGAUCCGUAACUGGUCUGAGAGGAUGAUCAGUCACACUGGAACUGAGACACGGUCCAGACUCCUACGGGAGGCAGCAGUGGGGAAUAUUGGACAAUGGGCGAAAGCCUGAUCCAGCCAUGCCGCGUGUGUGAAGAAGGUCUUCGGAUUGUAAAGCACUUUAAGUUGGGAGGAAGGGUUGUAGAUUAAUACUCUGCAAUUUUGACGUUACCGACAGAAUAAGCACCGGCUAACUCUGUGCCAGCAGCCGCGGUAAUACAGAGGGUGCAGCGUUAAUCGAAUUACUGGCGUAANCCGCGUAGNGGUUGUUANUUGAUGUGAAACCCGGGUCACUGGGACUG